GGUUGAGUAGUGUAGUGGUUAUCACAUCGGAUUCUGAUUUACUGGCUUUGAGCCAACGCCUGGAGUUCCGGUAACCUGGGUUCGACUCCCAGCCCGACCU